CUGGCGGGCACGCCAGGCCUCCUGUGCCCGGGCAGGGCGGCCCCAAGCCUGGUACUCCUUCGCCAAACCAGGGGAACAACAAGCGGCGCCGCUACACCAACAACGGCGGCUAUCAAGGCGCCGCCAACUCGCCGCCGCCCUGGACUGGGCACGUGUACGCAUACCGCGUCUCGCUACCGCCUCCGCCUCGUCCGCAGGGGAUCCUCGGGCCGCGCCCAGCUCAGGCCUACACGGCCUACACGCCGCUCCAGUACGGCGGUGUGCCGUACGGACCGACGGGCUAUGGGGGGGCGUCGUAUGGUUCGGUACCGUACCCGGCCGCCCCUCUGAUGCAGCAGUCGCCGCCCCUUCUGGCUGCACCUCCGCAGCCGCAGCAGCACCACACCACGUAGGCUUCGGAUGGAGUGGAUCAGGCGGCGCUGAUGGGGGCUCUCCACAACCCGACGCUGCAGAACUCCACCAACGGGUGGAUCAUGGACUCAGGCGCUUCUUCUCACAUUACCUCGGACCCAGGAUUACAUCACCAAGGCGGCGCUGCACCGAUGCAACAGUAGCAGCGAGCUCUACCCAAUCUUCGCCAACAACGCUUCGAGUGACGCCGCCGUUGCCUUCAGCGCCACCGUCUCCCGGCUCACGGAUCUGUGGCAUCGCCGGCUCGGCCACCCCGGCGCCCAUACUUUUUCCAAUAAAGGGUUUCCUUCAUGUAAUAAAAACUCUGCUUGUGUACCACUUUGUCAUGCCUGCCAGUUGGGCAAGCACGUUCGUUUGCCUUUUUAUCCAUCACGUAGCUCUACUAGUGCUGCUUUCGAAAUAAUGCAUUGUGAUCUCUGGACAGCUCCCAUCUCCAGUGUUUCUGGCAACAAAUACUACCUUAUCAUCA